rnacentral:tRNA from 1 species
ACCAGGAUGGCCGAGUGGUUAAGGUGUUGGACUUAAGAACCAAUGGACAAGUGUCCUCGUGGGUUCAAACCCCACUCCUGGUA